UCUCAUCAACCCAAGUGUAGCUAGAGGGCAGAGACUAAGGGACCUGACUUCUACCUGGUGCACAAAGGCUCUGACUGUCGCCAGGCUCUGAUUAAUCUGCUGAAAAGCCAAUACAGAGAGUGUGCAGUGUGCAUCCGCGGUAUGUGUAACCAGCCCUCCUAAGGGCAGAAAUAACUGAACCACCAUAAAGAUCUGCCGAGGUCCAGCCCCGCAGGACCAGGAAUACCCACGGGAUGAGUGGCGUCGGCGAGGAAGAAGACAGACACACACACACAGACGUUGUGUAGAAGAGAUCUUUUACAGGGUUCUACUCCUACUGAGCUGACAAUGAUCCACAUCCUUCUCUUGACCAUCCUCUGGCCUGGGCUCUCUGACCAUCAUGGGCUACUUCCUCCACUUCCUGAAGCUGCUCUCCAUCUGCAUAGGCUUCUCCCUGGUGGCCAGAGUGGGCACUUGGACGGUGGACCUAAGCAACUGGUUGCCAGGAGCCAGCACAUGAGAUCCCACCCAUGACAAGGUCAUGAGGAGAAGACCUGACAAGCAAGGCAGAUUAGGACCUCAGGGAUUUCGAAAAGCUGCCCCAGGGCUCACCUUAAAGAUGAUAUCUGUCUUUCUGAUGCUUGCUAUAUUAGACUACUCUCUAAUUUCUGUGACACAGGUAGAAGGCCUUCCCCGAUCUCUUUCCAAACAGAAUCAACUUAGAACUUUAAUUAAUAUGUCCCCCGGACGGUGGUAUCCUAUAAGAUUAUCCAGGAUGAAAGGAGUGUUUCAAUUUAGACCCCUUUACUGGCAUUCUAGUCUGCUUGGCAAAUGCGUACUAAUGCACGUGACUGCUCACAACACCUUAAUCAUGAACAGCAUAAAGAACCUGAUCACACAAAGGCCCUAAUAGGCACAGAGACCUUUGGGGGGUGAGGAAGCCCUAUUAGAGAACACAAAAAAUAUUAUUCUAAAAGUGGUUAUUGGAUCAAUGUUUGAUUGCUGUUAAUGUGCUGAGGUUGUGCAGUGGAAGCUAUUGUUAAUAUAGUUAAGGAUUUAGAAAAAUAAGAGUUUAGCCCUAGUGUGGAAACAAUAAGGUAAUUGUUAAUUUUGACCAAGAGUGCUAAAACAGAGGCUGCCUCACCAGAGGCGCAGAGUCUUUGUGUGUUAAACUUUUUAGAUAAAUUUAGCUGAGAACUUCUGCAAAAAGACUGACCUUUGUGUUAACAGGAUUGUAUUUCUAUUAUGUUGCAACCUGCUGUACUAUGAGACUGCCACUUUUCUGUUUUCUGGUAAACUCAAGGCCAGAAGAUAAUGUACAAAAAAUCUACGGAAAAAGACUCUCGUAAACAAAGAAGUAUGCAGAGAACACCUGGUUUCGUGAAGGACAAGCUGAUGUAAUGUUAAACUAGGUCUGUGUGCUUAUCUUCCCCUUAGAAAUGUACUAACUAAGGUAU